CCCCUAGUAACUGCGAGUGAAGCGGGAAAAGCUCAAAUUUAAAAUCUGGCGGUCUUUGGCCGUCCGAGUUGUAGUCUGGAGAAGCGUCUUCUACGCCGGACCGUGUACAAGUCCCUUGGAACGGGGCGUCAUAGAGGGUGAGAAUCCCGUCCAUGACACGGACCGCCGGCGGUUUGUGAUGCGCUCUCAAAGAGUCGAGUUGUUUGGGAAUGCAGCUCAAAACGGGUGGUAAAUUCCAUCUAAAGCUAAAUACUGGCGAGAGACCGAUAGCGAACAAGUACCGUGAGGGAAAGAUGAAAAGCACUUUGGAAAGAGAGUUAAACAGUACGUGAAAUUGCUGAAAGGGAAACGCUUGAAGUCAGUCGCGUCGGCCGGGGCUCAGCCUUGCAUUCGUUUGCUCGGUUUACUUCCCGGUCGACGGGCCAGCGUCGAUUUCGACCGUCGGAGAACGGUCAGGGGAAAGUGGCACCUUCGGGUGUGUUAUAGCCUUUGGUCGGAUACGACGGUUGGGAUCGAGGGACGCAGCACGCCUUUAUUGGCCGGGGCAUUCGUGCCCACGUAUCGUGCUUAGGAUGCUGGUGUAAUGGCUUUAAACGACCCGUCUUGAAACACGGACCAAGGAGUCUAACGUGCCUGCGAGUGUUUGGGUGGAAAACCCGAGCGCGCAACGAAAGUGAAAGUCGAGAUCU
rnacentral:rRNA from 1 species